CUGAGCCCAUGGGUUCAGAACAAGGAAGUGCAAAGAUUACCACUGGUUUGCAAGCUGACAGGAUGUGGUACAUGUCAGCCCUCCCUCAGGAAGUAUGACAUACUGCCGGAACUGUGGCUAAUGGUGCGGACCACCCUGCUCACUGUUAGCAAAGUGGGUAGCUACCCUCUCUUCUGGAAGCCCCUCUGCAGCACUCCUCUUGGGAGUAGAAAAGGAAGUGGUCAAGGGAAUGGGGUUUCGCCGUGUUGUCCAGGCUGGUCUCAAACUCCUGGGCUCAAGCAAUCUGCCCACCUCAGCCUCCCAAAGUGCUGAGAUGACAGGCAUGAGCCACUGUCCCUGGCCCAGAUCUGCCUGCAGCUCAGCCCCAGCCUCCUCAGCUUUCUGCAGCUGAGCCUCCAGACCUACAUUUGGGAGCUGAUCCGUCUUGCUCUCAGUUAGGGCCCAGCCCUUCUGUGGGGACCAGGAAAAUCUUUGCUCACCUGGAGAAGCUGCUGGUUCAGCCCAACUUUAUCUAACGCCAAAGCCUCAUUUAAGGCACUGAGCUUGACAGCUGCAGCCCGAAGAUCAGCUACUUCUGUCUUCAGGGUGUUUUCAGAACUCGACAGCUCUGCAAUUGACUGCUCUGCCUAAAAAACAAAAAGGAUUAAAGAGUUUCAUAUUUCCAAUUUUCCUGGAACAGUAAACAGUUCACAUUCCCAAC
rnacentral:lncRNA from 1 species